rnacentral:tmRNA from 1 species
UCCCUUCCCCCGCCGCCAUCGACCCCCUAUAUUGGACUUGCCGUUCGCAAGACCGGCUAUGGCGAUAAACGGACUUCGUAAUAAGCCUUUCGGACCCGGGGGCGGUACCCGGCGCCUCCACCACAGCCCUGUUGCGCGAGCGGCAGGUCGCCUUGCCAUCCUCGGGCGGCAGGGCUGCGGCGGGGGCGAAAUAGGAUCGACGAGGGUGUAAAGGUUGUUCUUUUGCCCGGCAUGGUACCGCCGUUAUCGGGCCUAACGCAUAGUUGCCAACGACAACAAUGCUCGGGUUGCUGUCGCCGCGUGAGCGGUGCUGGUACCCAAACCUAAGUCCUUGCGUUUAGCGAUGUAAGGCGGGGCCCGGAGGCGCCUGGCAACAGAAGCCUCCACU